rnacentral:rRNA from 1 species
CCUACGGGUGGCAGCAGUGAGGAAUAUUGGUCAAUGGACGAGAGUCUGAACCAGCCAAGUAGCGUGAAGGAUGACUGCCCUAUGGGUUGUAAACUUCUUUUAUAUGGGAAUAAAAUGUUCCACGUGUGGGAUUUUGUAUGUACCAUAUGAAUAAGGAUCGGCUAACUCCGUGCCAGCAGCCGCGGUAAUACGGAGGAUCCGAGCGUUAUCCGGAUUUAUUGGGUUUAAAGGGAGCGUAGGUGGAUUGUUAAGUCAGUUGUGAAAGUUUGCGGCUCAACCGUAAAAUUGCAGUCGAAACUGGCAGUCUUGAGUACAGUAGAGGUGGGCGGAAUUCGUGGUGUAGCGGUGAAAUGCUUAGAUAUCACGAAGAACUCCGAUUGCGAAGGCAGUUCACUGGACUGCAACUGACACUGAGGCUCGAAAGUGUGGGUAUCAAACAGGAUUAGAUACCCGAGUAGUC